CUGUAACGCUGCAGCAAAGCAUCACUAGUACUCCGGGCCGUGUGAAUAUGUCAACAUGAUCGGAGGGGAGGGAGCAGGCAGCGCCGGGGAGGGCGGCCGGGAGCACCCGCCUCUAGGGGGGGUGCUCGGGGCCGCCUCGCCCCCCCCCAGCCCCGGCCCUGGCCCCCCGCGGCCCCGGCGAGAUGGCAGGCUGGGCAUUUCCAGUGCGCUCUCCUCCGGCUGCCUGCCCUGGAUGAAGGCCACUCGGCUGGCACCGGCGCCGAGAGGGUUACGCUCCCACACCCCUCCUCUUCCAUGAGGUGCGCGGGGAGGAGACGGGAAGUGCGGCUUUCCCUGCGCCCGGGCCGCGGCAGCGCCGGGCGGGGGGGGCCAUCCCCGGCUGCCCCCGUGCCCGGGCUGCAUGGAGCCACCUCCCCUCCCGCGCGGGGAAGGCAUCACGCGUGGGCCUGCGCCGGCCUCACGGAGCGGGAAGAGCAGGGCAGGAUCCGCUUGGGAAGUUUCUGGGGAGACAUGUUCCUCGGGGAACGCCAGGGCAGGGCAGCAAGACGGGGCGUCGCGCGUGUGCGUGUCGUGGGAGCCGCGGGCAUGCAGGGCACGGCGCGCCCACGCGGGUGUCGGCCGGGAUAUGCCAGCGCUGGGAGAUGCCGAAUCACCACCCAGCCCCCCUCCCCGAUCCCUCCCUGGGGGAUCUCCCGGCACACCCCACACCCCCCCCCCAUCUUGCUUUAAGGAGGGGAAGAUAAUCCUGCGGGAGCGGAGCGGCGGAGUGCGGGGGCUCGGCGCUGGCUGCGCGCAGAUGGGAGCGGAACCUCUAAAGUGAUUAGCUCUUCUAACAUUGCAUUUUUGACGCACAUGGUUAAGAGCGCUUGGCGCCAGCUUGGUGAAGUCCCUGUAGUAACCAGCGUCUAGGAUCGCUUUGCAUUCACCAAAAUAUCUCCCCUUUGGUCGGGGGAGGGAAUGGAGAAAGGAGGAGGAGGAGGGAGGAAAGGAAGCGGGAGUAAUGCGUUCAAAGAGGAUGGGGGCGGGGGAGGAAGACUUGGGGCCGGGGGGGGGGGAGAAAGUCUGAUGUGUUUCACGAAGCCAGGAGCUUGGCUACCCGCGCAGCGCUCGGCUGGGCUGUGCAGCUAGUUAUCAACGAAAGGAGCGAGUUUUUUCAGGCUCUGCUUGGAACCGGUUCUCGGGCUCCUGCCUCCAGCCGCUGCCGCGGUAGGAACCCCCAAACCCCAUGCCUUCCCUUUAACAGAGCCCACAACAAACGCCCGGCGGCUUCAAGAAGUUUGCCGCAAUUUGCCCCAACGGGGCCGCCGCUCUCUCCCGAGGACCUGGAGGUGCCCGCGGGCUCCCGCAAGACAAGCGCAGCCGCCCCCAGCCCCGCCGCGCCCCGGCCCUCGCGCCCGCCCCUCCGGAGCGCACCCUCGGCGCCGCGGCGGAGGCCGGAGUCGCUGCCGCCCUCCGCGCCGGCCCCGCACCUUGCACCGCGCUCGGCACCCACCCGCGCAGCGGCCCGCGGAGGGAAAAUAAAAUGUUUGCCGCUUAUGAUUUCCAA